AGAGGCAGACAGUCUAGAAGCAGAUUUUAUACAAGAAGUUGCAAAAUAUCAGUUAUUUUCACAGAACUUUGAUGAACCAGCCAGUGCAUCAGAAAAGCAAGGUUAAAUGUAAUGCUCCGAAGUUAUGAUAGACUUCAUCUACUUCUCAGCAUGCUCAGCGUCCUUUGACAAUUGCUCUUGUCAUGGAAGAAGAAACAGACUCAGAGACCACUGUGGAGAAUACUACAACAGGAGCAAUGAUUUCUGCAGUUUCUAAGAGCUGCUGUUCCUUGUGCUCAUCCUAAAGUUUCCAUUCUCCUGCAGAAAGCACAAAGAGAACUGGAGAGCUUGAACAGGUGUUUCAUUUAGCAUACGCUUUCACACCCCAUGAAAGGGUCUGCCUGUUACAAGAAUGGACUUGCUAUCACCCUCAUUCUCAGCACAGAGAACAGCGCAUCAGGAAAGGACAAAACCACAGGUAUCACCUGGAUAUUACAACAGCCUGACUGCCAAAGCUAAACUUCCAAAGCUCCUGUUCAACUUCAUGCAAAGUGUGGGGGGAGCCUGCUCCGCCUCCAGAAAAACGAGUUCAGGAAGACAAUAGGCAUCUUCUGAAAUUCCACUGCCUUCAGUGCAAGGUAGGCACGUGUGGUGGGUCAGGCCAGAGUAGCCUUUGCACAAGCCUGUUCCCACGCAUGAGUUAUCUCACAUCGCCUGCAGACAAGUGCUGUAAAAUGCACAUCUCUCCCAGGGCAGGGUUUCAACACUCCCAAUCAAAGGAAAUACCAAUCCCAGAAACCACCCCACUCUCCAGCUGCUCAAAAUAAAUAAAAAGAUCUUGAAGAAGCCAUUACAUCUCUGAACGUCAUUGAUUCACCCUGCACGUCCUUUUAAAAAAAAAAAACAAGAACAAAACCAAGUUAAUAAGGGACAUAUAUAGGAACUUAAGGAAACAAGGAAUUUUCAGCCAUGAUUUUCAAAAGAUUUUCUGAAACUUUUAUGAAAGAAAAAAAAAAAAGAA